rnacentral:rRNA from 1 species
GACGAACGCUGGCGGCGUGCUUAACACAUGCAAGUCGAACGGAAAGGCCCUGCUUUUGUGGGGUGUUCGAGUGGCGAAAGGGUGAGUAACACGUGAGUAACCUGCCCCUGACUUUGGGAUAACUUCUGGAAACUGGGGCUAAUACCGGACAGGAGCUCCUGCUGCAUGGGGGGGGUUGGAAAGUUACGGCGGUUGGGGAUGGACUCGCGGCUUAUCAGCUUGUUGGUGGGGUAGUGGCUUACAAAGGCUUUGACGGGUAGCCGGCCUGAGAGGGUGACCGGGCACAUUGGGACUGAGGUACGGGCCAGACGCCUACGUGAGGCAGCAGUGGGAAAUAGUGCACAAUGGGCGGAAGCCUGAUGCAGCAACGCCGCGUGCGAGAUGACGGCCUUCGGGUUGUAACCCGCUUUCGCCUGGGACGAAGCGUGAGUGACGGUAAUGGGUAAAGAAGCACCGGCUAACUACGUG